GUUCGGCAGACACCGGAGGCGAUCGAUCGUUGUAGAAAUCAAGCUGCUGGAGCCCAUCUGUUGUAGAAGCUCGUCCGAAAUCCAUCCACUGUGGAAGUUCGGACGGAGUUCGAUUCUUGCAAAAGGCUGAAAGGAGGCCGCUUGUUGUAGAAGCUCGAUCGAAGAUCGGUUAUCGUGGAAGCUCGGAGUAGUGACCUAGCUGAUGGAGUCUGCCCCGUUAUAGAAGCUCAUCUGGGAUCCGUCUAUUGUAGGAGCUCGGCUGUGAUCCGACUAUAAAGAAGCUCGGCUGAAGUCCACAGUAGAAAUUCAAAGUAGAGAUCCAGCUGGUGGAGCCCUUCCAUUGUUGAAAUUCAUCUGGAAUCCUUCCACUGUGGGAGUUCGACUGGAAUCCGAUUUUCGUAGGAGCUCGAAUGGAAUUCAGAAGGUGGUCGACUGCC
rnacentral:lncRNA from 1 species